UACGUAGGGUGCGAGCGUUGUCCGGAAUUAUUGGGCGUAAAGAGCUUGUAGGCGGUCUGUCGCGUCUGCUGUGAAAUCCGGGGCUCAACCCCGGACUUGCAGUGGGUACGGGCAGACUAGAGUGUGGUAGGGGAGACUGGAAUCCUGGUGUAGCGGUGAAAUGCGCAGAUAUCAGGAGGAACACCGAUGGCGAAGGCAGGUCUCUGGGCCACUACUGACGCUGAGAAGCGAAAGCAUGGGAGCGAACAGG
rnacentral:rRNA from 1 species